GAUGAACGCUGGCGGCGUGCCUAAUACAUGCAAGUCGAGCGAACAGACGAGGAGCUUGCUCCUCUGACGUUAGCGGCGGACGGGCGAGUAACACGUGGAUAACCUACCUAUAAGACUGGGAUAACUUCGGGAAACCGGAGCUAAUACCGGAUAAUAUAUUGAACCGCAUGGUUCAAUAGUGAAAGACGGUUUUGCUGUCACUUAUAGAUGGAUCCGCGCCGCAUUAGCUAGUUGGUAAGGUAACGGCUUACCAAGGCAACGAUGCGUAGCCGACCUGAGAGGGUGAUCAGCCACACUGGAACUGAGACACGGUCCAGACUCCUACGGGAGGCAGCAGUAGGGAAUCUUCCGCAAUGGGCGAAAGCCUGACGGAGCAACGCCGCGUGAGUGAUGAAGGUCUUCGGAUCGUAAAACUCUGUUAUUAGGGAAGAACAAAUGUGUAAGUAACUAUGCACGUCUUGACGGUACCUAAUCAGAAAGCCACGGCUAACUACGUG
rnacentral:rRNA from 1 species